rnacentral:rRNA from 1 species
GAUGAACGCUGGCGGCGUGCCUAAUACAUGCAAGUCGAGCGAACGGACGAGAAGUUUGUUUCUCUGAUGUUAGCGGCGGACGGGAGAGUAACACGUGGAUAAUCUACCUAUAAGACUGGGAUAACCUCGGGAAACCGGAGCUAAUACCGGAUAAUAUUUUGAACCGCAUGGUUCAAAUGUGAAAGACGGUCUUGCUGUCACUUAUAGAUGGAUCCGCGCUGCAUUAGCUAGUUGCUAAGGUAACGGCUUACCAAGGCAACGAUGCGUAGACGACCUGGGAGGGGGGUCGGCGACCCGGGAACGGGAACGCCGUCCAGACUCCUGCGGGAGGGCGCAGUAGGGAACGGGCCGCAGCAGGGGAAAGCAUGGCGGAGUAACGCCGCGUGUGUGAUGGCGGUCUUCCGAUCGUGAAACUCUGCUAUGAGUGAAGAACAUAUGUGUAAGUAGCUGAACAGAUAGUGACGGUACCUAAAGAGAAAGCCACGGCUAACUACGUG